rnacentral:rRNA from 1 species
CCAGACUCCUACGGGAGGCAGCAGUGGGGAAUAUUGCACAAUGGGGGGAACCCUGAUGCAGCGACGCCGCGUGGGUGAAGGAGCACCUCGGUGCGUAAAGCCCUAUCGGCAGGGAAGAAAAGCGAACAGGUUCGCCUAGACGGUACCUGACUAAGAAGCCCCGGCUAAAUACGUGCCAGCAGCCGCGGUAAUACGUAGGGGGCAAGCGUUAUCCGGAUUUACUGGGGGUAAAGGGAGCGUAGACGGCGGAACAAGUCAGAAGUGAAAACCCGGGGCUCAACCCUGGGAGUGCUUUUGAAACUGUUUGGCUGGAGUGCAGGAGAGGUAAGCGGAAUUCCUAGUGUAGCGGUGAAAUGCGUAGAUAUUAGGAGGAACACCAGUGGCGAAGGCGGCUUACUGGACUGUAACUGACGUUGAGGCUCGAAAGCGUGGGGAGCAAACAGGAUUAGAUACCCGAGUAGA